CACAGUGCGCGGACAACAACAGAUACAAAGGUGAAGAGACCCAAGAGGAGGUUUUUUUUUUUUCCCCCUCCCUGCUCCCAACUCUUUACAGCCGGUUUUGGUACCUCUUACCCGGCCGUGACGGUUGUUUGUAUGCCGGUGACUGACCAGCGAGAGCGUUUAUUUAUCUUUAUUCCUCUCGACAACGCCGCGACAAGGUGGACAUUAAUAAAGGGUCACCCGAGAGCCUUCAGGCUGUCAUCUGCAGUUCACUGACUUCGACAAGACACCGGGAUCUCUGCUGUCUAUAAGUACAUAAGGCAGCACUCCACUUGUUCAGAUGUUGUCAAGGUGAUUUGGGAGUACAAGAGAUCCAGACACCUACAGUCAAAGGAGAGUCGUCUUUUUUUUUACAUCAAGGCCAG